rnacentral:rRNA from 1 species
GACCUACGGGAGGCAGCAGUGGGGGAUAUUGCACAAUGGGGGGAACCCUGAUGCAGCGACGCCGCGUGGGCGAUGGAGCGCCUCGGCGCGUAAAGCCCUAUCAGCAGGGAAGAAGAUGACGGUACCUGACUAAGAAGCCCCGGCUAACUACGUGCCAGCAGCCGCGGUAAUACGUAGGGGGCAAGCGUUAUCCGGAUUUACUGGGUGUAAAGGGAGCGUAGACGGUAUGGCAAGUCUGAAGUGAAAGCCCAGGGCUUAACCCUGGGACUGCUUGGGAAACUGUUAGACUAGAGUGCUGGAGAGGU